rnacentral:lncRNA from 1 species
GGAAUAGAGCUGUACCUGGCUUCAGGCGAGACUUGGCAACUCCAAAAUGGAAGUACUAUUGUUAUCUCCGUUUACAAAUUAGGAAACUGAGGCACAGAUAUGCUCUUGGGUACUUGUCAGCAGCAGUUGUUCUACAAAUGAGCGUCUUAGCCUCUGGAUUACUGCUCAAUGAGGAAAGCUAUGAAAUGCAUGGAUAACUUGCUAAUCAGUAUUUGCCAUAUGUGCUAGCAGCAUCAGCAUCAGUUGGGAGAUUAUGGUGGCCUCCAUGUCAGACCUCCUAAAUCGGAAUAUCAGAGAAGGUGGCCCAGGUUACCAUGCUUCAUCUGCCAAUGCAUUGAAAACUUGGAAUGUAAAUUAAUUCAACCAUUGUGGAAGAUGGUGUAGUGAUUCCUCAAAGACCUAGAAGCAGAAAUAUCAUUUGAUCCAGAAAUCCCAUUACUGUGUAUACACCCAAAGGAAUAUAAACCAUUCUAUUACAAA